rnacentral:lncRNA from 1 species
CAAACUAUAUAGUUUAAUAUCCAAAAAAUGUUUUUGAUUUUAUGUAAUGUAAUGAAAAUCUUAUUUGUAAAUUAUUGGUUACAAUGUUUAACAAUAGGAAAUAUUCAAGAAUAAAUAAAAUAAAAGUUUAAUCCUAACAACACAAAACAUUCCAGGAAUGUACGUACUACCGUUCUAUUCCUUGAACAUCUAUCUGAUUAAAUUAUGGGUGGAAAGUUACCACAAGAUAUUCUAUGAACAUAGUACAAUGUCUUCCUGGAGGGGUAAAAUUUUCCAUUACAAGAUUUUAAGAGAGGCCAUUUAUUGUACUGUUCAAUUUGCGUUCAUUUUCAAAUUUGCCGCGCGAGUAUCUAUGUAGCGUCUCGUGGUCAUUGGUCAUCACAUCACAUUUCAUUUUCAUAACAUAACCGAUAACCUAGAAAUUUAGUAAAGUAAAAAUUUUGAUUGGAAAAAAGUGCAUCGAUAAGGGGGUGUGGGAAAUGGAAAUUAGUGGCUUUUCUGCUGUACUGUCUGCUAGUCAAAUCACACAACACUUUUUUCUAUGCUGCUAGUUUUUGCUCUGGGCUCUGGCUGGAUCUCUUGUUUAAACAAUUUUAAUCAGCUGAAAGUGGCCUACAAAAAAAAACCAAGAAGGAAAUGUAUAGCCUUGUGGCUAUGAAAGGCAAAAGAGAGAUAUAAAAAGUGUAUU